rnacentral:rRNA from 1 species
AACGCUAGCGGGAGGCUUAACACAUGCAAGCCGAGCGGUAGAGAUCUUUCGGGAUCUUGAGAGCGGCGUACGGGUGCGGAACACGUGUGCAACCUGCCUUUAUCUGGGGGAUAGCCUUUCGAAAGGAAGAUUAAUACCCCAUAAUAUGUUGGAUGGCAUCAUUCGACAUUGAAAACUCCGGUGGAUAGAGAUGGGCACGCGCAAGAUUAGAUAGUUGGUGAGGUAACGGCUCACCAAGUCUGCGAUCUUUAGGGGGCCUGAGAGGGUGAUCCCCCACACUGGUACUGAGACACGGACCAGACUCCUACGGGAGGCAGCAGUGAGGAAUAUUGGACAAUGGGUGAGAGCCUGAUCCAGCCAUCCCGCGUGAAGGACGACGGCCCUAUGGGUUGUAAACUUCUUUUGUAUAGGGAUAAACCUACUCUCGUGAGAGUAGCUGAAGGUACUAUACGAAUAAGCACCGGCUAACUCCGUGCCAGCAGCCGCGGUAAUACGGAGGGUGCAAGCGUUAUCCGGAUUUAUUGGGUUUAAAGGGUCCGUAGGCGGAUCUGUAAGUCAGUGGUGAAAUCUCACAGCUUAACUGUGAAACUGCCAUUGAUACUGCAGGUCUUGAGUGUUGUUGAAGUAGCUGGAAUAAGUAGUGUAGCGGUGAAAUGCAUAGAUAUUACUUAGAACACCAAUUGCGAAGGCAGGUUACUAAGCAACAACUGACGCUGAUGGACGAAAGCGUGGGGAGCGAACAGGAUUAGAUACCCUGGUAGUCCACGCCGUAAACGAUGCUAACUCGUUUUUGGGCUUUCGGGUUCAGAGACUAAGCGAAAGUGAUAAGUUAGCCACCUGGGGAGUACGAACGCAAGUUUGAAACUCAAAGGAAUUGACGGGGGCCCGCACAAGCGGUGGAUUAUGUGGUUUAAUUCGAUGAUACGCGAGGAACCUUACCAAGGCUUAAAUGGGAAAUGACAGGUUUAGAAAUAGACUUUUCUUCGGACAUUUUUCAAGGUGCUGCAUGGUUGUCGUCAGCUCGUGCCGUGAGGUGUUAGGUUAAGUCCUGCAACGAGCGCAACCCCUGUCACUAGUUGCCAUCAUUAAGUUGGGGACUCUAGUGAGACUGCCUACGCAAGUAGAGAGGAAGGUGGGGAUGACGUCAAAUCAUCACGGCCCUUACGCCUUGGGCCACACACGUAAUACAAUGGCCGGUACAGAGGGCAGCUACACAGCGAUGUGAUGCAAAUCUCGAAAGCCGGUCUCAGUUCGGAUUGGAGUCUGCAACUCGACUCUAUGAAGCUGGAAUCGCUAGUAAUCGCGCAUCAGCCAUGGCGCGGUGAAUACGUUCCCGGGCCUUGUACACACCGCCCGUCAAGCCAUGGAAGUCUGGGGUACCUGA